ensembl:lncRNA
GCAUGGUAGAAGGUGGUCUGGUGGAAGGUGGUCUGGUAGAAGGUGGUCUGGUGGAAGGUGGUCUGGUAGAAGGUGGUCUGGUGGAAGGGGCAUGGUGGAAGGUGGUCUGUUGGAAGGGGCAUGGUAGAAGGUGGUCUGGUGGAAGGGGCAUGGUGGAAGGUGGUCUGGUAGAAGGUGGUCUGGUGGAAGGUGGUCUGGUGGAAGAUGGUCUGGUAGAAGAUGGUCUGGUAGAAGGGGCAUGGUGGAAGGUGGUCUGGUGGAAGGGGCAUGGUGGAAGGUGGUCUGGUGGAAGGGGCAUGGUGGAAGAUGGUCUGGUAGAAGGGGCAUGGUGGAAGGUGGUCUGGUGGAAGAUGGUCUGGUAGAAGGUGGUCUGGUGGAAGGGGCAUGGUGGAAGGUGGUCUGGUGGAAGAUGGUCUGGUAGAAGGUGGUCUGG